rnacentral:rRNA from 1 species
UACGAAGGGGGCUAGCGUUGCUCGGAAUCACUGGGCGUAAAGGGUGCGUAGGCGGGUUUUUAAGUCAGGGGUGAAAUCCUGGAGCUCAACUCCAGAACUGCCUUUGAUACUGAAGAUCUUGAGUCCGGGAGAGGUGAGUGGAACUGCGAGUGUAGAGGUGAAAUUCGUAGAUAUUGGGAAGAACACCGGUGGCGAAGGCGGCCAUCUGGACCGUAUCUGACGCUGAGGCGCGAAAGCGUGGGGAGCAAACAGG